rnacentral:rRNA from 1 species
GGGCCUCAAAUCAGACAAGAGUACCCGCUGAACUUAAGCAUAUCAA